rnacentral:rRNA from 1 species
CAAUAGCGUAUAUUUAAGUUGUUGCAGUUAAAAAGCUCGUAGUUGGAUUUCGGGUGGGACGCAGCGGUCUCGCAUUGCGUUUGUACUGCUGCAGCCCUCCUUCUUGCCGGGGGCGGCCUCUCGGACUUCACUGUCUGGGGGUCAGAAUCGGCGAUGUUACUUUGAGUAAAUUAGAGUGUUCAAAGCAAGCUUACGCUCUGAAUAUAAUAGCAUGGGAUAACACGACAGGACUCUGGCCUAUCGUGUUGGUCUAUAGGACCAGAGUAAUGAUUAAGAGGGACAGUCGGGGGCAUUCGUAUUCCGUUGUCAGAGGUGAAAUUCUUGGAUUUACGGAAGACGAACAUCUGCGAAAGCAUUUGCCAAGGAUGUUUUCGUUGA